rnacentral:lncRNA from 1 species
GUGGGGCUGGGCUCAUGGUUACCACUGUCUGGUGCUGCAGAGAGGAGUGAGGGAAGCUACGAGGCCAGCAGGAUCAGUGACCAGAAGGCCAUGGGCCUCCAGGUCACACGUGCACCCGCAGAUGGGAAAGCCUCGGUCCCAGAAGCCAUGUCAAGCCUGCCAUUGCUGGCACCUGUCAGCUGAGGCCCUGCAGACCUGGGACGAGAACGGCCAACAGAGGAUCCUGGACACCCAACGUACCCUGGACCAACACUUGUCUUGAGUCCUGGAGAGAGAGGUGAGCUGAGCUCCUACCUGGAGAGAAAAGGGGCUCGGGUUUCUGUUUUAGCAAC